GACGAACGCUGGCGGCGUGCCUAAUACAUGCAAGUAGAACGCACAGUUUAUACCGUAGCUUGCUACACCAUAGACUGUGAGUUGCGAACGGGUGAGUAACGCGUAGGUAACCUGCCUGGUAGCGGGGGAUAACUAUUGGUAACGAUAGCUAAUACCGCAUAAUAUUAAUUAUUGCAUGAUAAUUAAUUGAAAGUUGCAAUUGAACCACUACCAGAUGGACCUGCGUUGUAUUAGCUAGUAGGUGAGGUAACGGCUCACCUAGGCGAGGAUACAUAGCCGAACGGCUAGGGUGGUCGGCCACACUGGGACGGAGACACGGCCCAGACUGCUACGGGAGGCAGCCGUAGGGCAACUUCAGCAAUGGGCGGAAGUCUGACCGAGCAACGCGGCGUGAGGGAAGAAGGAUUUCGGGUCGUAAAGGUCGGUUGUAGGGGAAGAACGCGUGUGAGAGUGGAACGUUCAGACUGUGACGGUAACUGACCAGAAAGGGACGGCUAACUACGUG
rnacentral:rRNA from 1 species